UGGCUGCAAGAGUUUUGCAGUAAGAUGUAGUCUUUUGAUACAGUCGGGACUGAAAAGCGAUUCACCUGAAGACAUCAAAACUUGGCAACUUUAAUAAUCCGAUUAUGUUCUUGCACAUGUAUCGAUUUCGAGCAGUUGAAGCCAAGGUAUUCAAGUUAAUGUUUUCAGUGAAGAGCCUUUUAACUGCAGUUGUUCAUAAUCGACCAGACAACCCCGUAGAGUUUCUUCAGGAAUGCCUGGAAGUAGCCAAACAGAACGAAGACCUUCGUUGGAAUUCCUUUCUCCACGUGCAGGACAGAACCAAGAAGAGUUCACAGACGACUCAAACAGGACAGUUUGAUAAAGUAUUUGAUACAGAAUUGGAAGCAACGUUAAAUGGCUAAAAAAAAGACCAAGUGUGAUCAGUUAUGCUAGAGUCCGAAAUAGUGCAUUGGUUUUCAGUUUGCUAUAUUUCUUUCAUAUUCUUUAUAUAAUAUAUUUUUUUGUUGUUGUGAAUACACCGCUUCACAUAAAACGAUGGGUAGCCCCUGGAGGGUUGACCUUGCAAACAGCUGCUGUGUUAGAAAUCGGAUACUGUAAGUGGUUAUGGAAAUGUGACGACUCUUUGAUCAUGUUAUCUGGUCAGUCCCAGAAGCUGAGCAAACAAGAACACUUUAUAACUGUUCCAAGCUGCUUAUCAACAUGGAAAAUCCAUGAUUGUAUUUAGGUAUAAAGUGAAAACUGUAAAUAGAUAAAUAUGAUUGUUAUUCCAGCCGUCUCCUGCUCUUUUGUAAAGUUUUUCUCGGUGAGUCACGACCCAAGUUUACGACUGCUUCUCUAGCUGUGACGUCAAACCGAGGAGUGGGGAAAGAGGUUGGUGAGACAAUGCUCCACUACUCCGCAUUCGUCAGUUCUCGUUCUGUUCAAUGAAACCACAACACAGUCUGGUUCCCAGAGGUAGAGUGUUCACAGCUUGCAGAACGCUCUAAGGACGGGAUUUCCUGCAAAACUGACAGGCACCUGUGCUACUAAGGCAGUGCGCAACACAGCAACAGCUACUGCGUGUCUUUAUCGGUGAGCAUUUUACGGGACAUACCUUGUGGGUAAAAGCAACACAAGACUAGCACGAAGAGACGUGUGCGCGCAGGCAAAUAAAAGGCUAAAAUAUACAUUUGGCUCGAGAAAGCUUGUCCCAUAAAAGGGUUUAAGAGUACGCGAGAGUACCAAAACGUAUUAUGAGCGGUAUUAGUUGCUUGAUUGAAGUUCACGGCCUUCAGUGCGAAGGAGGUAAAAACCACGAAUAGAUAGUCAUGGUUUUUACCUCAAGUUUUUUUUUCCUGCAUGCAGUUAGUUUUUCCUACGGAGGAUAAACCAACGGCUCGCAGGGUAUGGAACACCGUGAACUUCGAUCAACCAGUGGUGAACUACAGUUACCCAUAGCACCUUUUGCCGUUGUCGCGUAGGCUUUUACGCUUUUUGAUUUGUAGGACAACUUUUCUCCCAAUAGCUAUGAAACUAAAGUUGAGUUAUAAGAAAGGAGCGCUAUUAAAUAUAAUUAAGAAAACAACGCGACGCCAUCCAUAACAACUGAUUGCUUUAUUAUUUAACAAAAUAAUGAAUGCUAAAAUAUCGGUCAAUUCUUAAACAAAAAUGAUGCCUCUUAUUUUACCGAACCCACGGUCUUAAUAA
rnacentral:lncRNA from 1 species